rnacentral:lncRNA from 1 species
UAUCUGUCUCCAUUUACUCAGCUUUAGAUAUUUUAGAUGGUAUUUGUUUACUCACUGGGAUUAUAUAAUCUCACCACCCUCAUUUCCACCCAUUUCAGGCUCAGGAUAGUUUGUAGAUAGCUGAUAUCGUCAAAGGCUACAGUUGGCUUUACUUCCUCAAAAACUGUAGGUUCACAGCCUUCAUCACUUUUAGUCAUUUGAGGGCCCACGU